CCGGAAGGUGCGGCUGGAUCACCUCCUUUCUAAGGAGCACCACGAAAAGGGUUGAGGCAUCAGGCCUUGCCCGGGCCGUGAGGGGUCGUGCGCUGUAGUGGCGGCGACCGGGUGCACAACAACAAAUCUUCUUCCGUUGUGGAGAACAGAAUCGCCGGCACACUAUUGGGUCCUGAGACAACACCCGUGUUGUCGCCGACCUGUUUGGUUGGUGAGGGGUUGUUGUCGCCUCGCUUGGUGGUGGGGUGUGGUGUUUGGUAAUUGGAUAGUGGUUGCGAGCAUCAAGGGGAUGCGUUGCCCUUCUGGGGUGGCGUGUUCUUUUGUGCAAUUUUUGAAAUAACUUUGGUUUUUGUGUUUGUAAGUGUUUUAGGGCGCAU
rnacentral:misc_RNA from 1 species